GGGGUACCCCCUCUUAUAGUGAGGCCAGAUUAGCCGUUGUUCUUUACGCUUGUGCAUCGUUUUACUCUUCUGUGUAGGUCGUGCAUACAAAGAGCUCAUAAACUAUCAUGUUUGUAUAUACCUCUGUGCUAACAUUCACAGGAAAUGUUGUCUUUGGGGAAUGGACUUGUUAAGCCACUUCUGGACAGUAUACAAAUGUAUACUUGUGUUCAUGGUUUUGAAGAUGUGAGAGGGAAGGAAACUACAAAAGAGGUUGCAAAAGUUCUGAUUUGGCAACCUCUAGUCUAAACGUUAAAGAGGUUUCUAGUGCAUGACAAUGUACAGUUAGUAAAAGCAACAUUUUGUACACUGUGAAUUGAUAGGAAAGUUUGUCUUCUGUAAAUGACUUUUGGGUACAGAAUUUAUCUAACCACUUCUAAUAAUUACAUAUACCUGUGCACUGGACUGGUGAUGGAAAGAAUAUAGUGAGGAUAAAACCAAAGUGGUCGUAUUUAGAGGAUACUUCAGAUUAUAACCAUUGUGGUGUGUGGAAUUUUAUUUUAACAGUGCUGUGUAUGUGGUGGGGCAAGCAUAUUCUUAUUGAAAAUGCUAGAUGUUCAGACCCACUUGGUGUAUUUAAGUAGGCUAACCCUUUGUACAUAGCUUUUUAGGAUUCAAGAAAAACAUUGUCUUUGGGAAUUGAAUUUUGAAACACCUCUGUAUUCUUUUACUGCUUUUUCAUUGGGGUAAGGGGAGGGGGUGAACAGACAUUGCAAAUGGCGUUAGUGUGUACUAAAAAAAUUCCAGGUUAUCCAUUGCCCUGCAUGUUACAUGCUUUUUAUUUAACUUUGCUGUACUUUAUAUUGGACAAAUGAGUACUAAUUUAAUAAUACCUAGUCUCUAGAUAUUAAAGAUGUUGUCAAUGUAUGAAAAAAUAGUAAACCGACAGAUUUUGUACACUGGUAAAAAUCACAGAAGUGCUGUCUUCUGGAGAUGAAAAAUUAAAACCACAUCCAAGUGGACAGGUGCCUAUUACUUGUCCUCCGGGUUGUCGUGUAGAGGAGCUGAAAAAAUAAUGACUCUGGACUAGAAUGUUCCUAUUUACAAGACACUUUCAGAUAGGACCUUUGUUACCUAUGCAUAGUUUCUUCUAUACUACUGUGUAUAGAGGGGACAAUCAAGUCCUUAUUUAAGACAUCUAGUCUUUCCAGAUGCUUAGAAGUGCACAAGCUAUGUUCAAAGUAGAGAUAGAAAAUAGCAUAGCUUGUAGAUGCCCUUUCGUUAAAAUUCAUACAGACGAUUGUCUUUUGGAAAUGGCAUUGCCAAACUGCCUCUCUGAGCAGUACAUUUGAGUUUCUUCAUGGAGGAGGGGAGAACGUGCAAAGGGCUUUACCAGUAUGUUUAUAGGGAGGCAAGGUGAACCACGGUCCCAUGCGCGCUGUGUAUUGUGUACAACUUUGCUGCGCAUCUGGUGUCUAACGAGGAUAAGUUCUAAUGUGCAUCAUCUGGUCUUCCUGGAUGUUCAAGUGGUUGCCGGUGUAUGACAAAAGUAGACUGUGUGAGAUUGUAACCAUAAGUCUGUAUGUAUAUUGUUUAUAAAAUACAUGUGCAAUGUUUGUUAUUUUACAGCCUCUAAGCUAUUUAGAGAUCUUGACGUGAUGAUACAUGAUAAAAAACGUCGUACUAGUAAUCUGUAAAUAACUCAUUGUUAUAAUUUAGAAAAGCACGUUGGACAUGGAAUGAGUAUCCACCUUUGAACAGUGUACAUCCAGAUUGGUGGCCGACGGGCAGCAGGAUGCUGAAAAUGCAUAUGUCAAUUUUCCUGACCUCCUUCAUCUGAGAAGUGCUUUAAUUCUUCAUCUUCAGCAUAUUACCGCCAUUGAUGCUCAAACUGAAUUUUCAGGAUGCUUAUCUCAAGAAUGGAAGUAUUUCUUGGAAGAGACCUACCCUUAUUUCAUAACCGUUUCAGAGGAGGCCUGAACGACCUACAAACGUACUUUUUCAACUUUCUCAUCAUACAGUCUUGGAUCAUGAAAGUUCAUGUUGUACUUACUUCUGGGCAAGCACAUGAGAUUCUCGGACUUAUGCAUACCUUAUGCCAAGCAGGCAUGGAAACCAAACAUUUUCCCAUAAGGUAUCGCCACUCUCACCACUGGUCCUGAAUG